rnacentral:lncRNA from 1 species
GGUCCUUAAUAAUAUUCCACGGCGGAGGGGGUGAUAUGACUACAUACAUGGCAGAAAGUGGAAACCUCCCAGGGAUAUUGUUCCCACGAUCCUGGAGGGAAGAAGAUGAUGUUACUUUCAAUAUGACAGAAGGUGGAUGAAGUGGUGGACUGCCCCUCCACACCUGUGGACACGCCCCCACUGAUAUUCCUUCUAAUUGCAGCGU